rnacentral:lncRNA from 1 species
GACUUGAACAAAAAUUCUGCAGUGCACACAAGGCUCCAUCUGUUACCUGAAUCCACGGCCAUCUGUCAUUUUCUGCAGCAGUCCAAGCGUUCACAAGACCCUUCUUAUUAAGUCGUGCAUAGUACGGAUACCAUUUCUGGAGUCCAAAGAGAGCUCGAUGAGUGGAUGAUGCAGUAAUUUGUUGAUUUGACACAAUUCCUCCUUCUA